rnacentral:lncRNA from 1 species
AAAAAAGGCAAGAAAAAAUAAAAGGCCAUGUAGACUGAAAAGGAAGAAGUAAAACUGUCUUUGCAGGAAGUAUGAGGAGAUUUUCCUCCAGUAUUCACUGUGAGAAACUGGUCCUGCUCCUGGAGGCAAAUUCACAAAAGCACGGAGGCCCUGAUGACUGAGUGCCCCCCAGUUUUUAAUCUCUGGGGCUCGUUGGCUCUGGGCCUCCAGCCACUCAUCAGUGAUGUUCAGGUUUCCCUACCUUGGCACUGCUUCCCACGGAGAUUAGUAGCACCAAAUCUGUGGAGCCAGAAGAUGUGGAUUCAAACUCCUGCUGCACAUCUUGUAUGCUUUUUGAUUUUGAAAGAGUUUUUUUUUUCCUUUUUGAGCCUUGGCUUCCAUAUAUACAAAAUGAAGUUACUAAUAAUAUCAACCUUAUAGGAGAUGGCCUGGAUUCUGCCAUGUAAAUCAAAGAAGAGAGGGCCUAACUCAGCUGCCUAGCCUGGAUCACCUGGAACCCAUUAGGAUACAGGAUCAUAAACACCUCUAUUUUCCCUUCAGAGAGAGACCAGAACCACUGGAGUUAAGCUACCUGCAUAAGAGUUGAGUGCGAUCAGCUGUACUUAAUCUUUAAAUGUCCAACCCACUGAUAACCUUUGGUUUGCUUUGAUAACUAUGAAAUAAAUUCUCACUGCAUUGGAU